CCUACGGGAGGCAGCAGUGAGGAAUAUUGGUCAAUGGACGAGAGUCUGAACCAGCCAAGUAGCGUGAAGGAUGACUGCCCUAUGGGUUGUAAACUUCUUUUAUAUGGGAAUAAAAUGUUCCACGUGUGGGAUUUUGUAUGUACCAUAUGAAUAAGGAUCGGCUAACUCCGUGCCAGCAGCCGCGGUAAUACGGAGGAUCCGAGCGUUAUCCGGAUUUAUUGGGUUUAAAGGGAGCGUAGGUGGAUUGUUAAGUCAGUUGUGAAAGUUUGCGGCUCAACCGUAAAAUUGCAGUCGAAACUGGCAGUCUUGAGUACAGUAGAGGUGGGCGGAAUUCGUGGUGUAGCGGUGAAAUGCUUAGAUAUCACGAAGAACUCCGAUUGCGAAGGCAGUUCACUGGACUGCAACUGACACUGAGGCUCGAAAGUGUGGGUAUCAAACAGGAUUAGAUACCCGUGUAGUC
rnacentral:rRNA from 1 species